UUGAUCUAUGUUCCUUCCCUCACCAUUGGUCAUGAGCUUUGGGUAGUGACCAAACGAAUGAGAUCGCAGAUACAAGCGGGCCAAAAUUUGUUUUUUCUACAGGGUGUCUGGGCUCUCCCUUAGAGAUAGGAUGAGAAGCUCUGUGGUCCAGGGGACGCUGCCCCUCCGCAUCAAGGGAAGCCAGUUGAGGUGACCCGAGCAUCCGGUUAGGUUGCCUCCAGGACGCCUCCCUAAUAAGGUUUUCCAGAAAUGUCCUACCGAGAUGAGACCCCAGGUCUGACCCAGGACACGCUGGAGUGACUUAUGUUUCUCGGCUGGCCAGGGUACGCCUUUGGAUUUCUCAGAGUAGCUAGUCCAAGUCUUGGCCUAACUCCUGAGGCUGCUGCCCCCAUGAUCCAACUCUGUAUAAGUGAAUGAAAAUGGGUGGAUGAAUAGUUUUUCAUUAAAAAAUACAGUGUAGUAUAUUUGUUUUACUAGUGAUUACUGCAUUAUUAACAUUAUCCAUUAAAUAGUUCAGUUUUCAAACAGAUUUUUAAAUUAGUAUUCCAUAUUUCUGUCUUCAAAGGGUUAAUAUCACUUAUGUAUACCCGUCUUUGUAAAAACUUCCUUUGACAUUAUUUAUUUUUGUGUGUUUGUGUUGACAGACUAUGUUGCUAGAAUGAAUGCACGAGUCAGGUCUCAGACCCAACUCUCAGAAUCAGAGAUGGAAGUGAUUUUGGCAGAGUAUCUUAAACAGCAUGGUUUGCCACAUCUGUCAUCUUUGAAAGUUCGUUUUAUCAAACCUUGAGAUGAGUGAAGGAACACAAAGGAUGAAAAAGAGGAGAAUAAGCCACCAUUCAACAUGAGCAGUCUUUCAAGACAGGAAGUAGUCCUCUAUCUGGGACAGUACCAGUUUAACUUGUCCCUAGGAAUGUCCGAUAUUAACGGUCGAUAUUCAUAUUAAAAUGUAAUAAAAGAAGUUACGUGCAUGUCUUUAUUAUUGACAUAACUUACAUGCUAUAAUGGAAACAUUUGCCCUUAUUUGUGCUUCCAUUUUUCUGCUCUGUAAGCAAAUGUGGUUAAAUGAUUCACACACAUGCUUGCGUAGGGUUACGGUAACAAUGUAUUUUGGGCACUGGGUACAGAAGUGUACAUAUCACUGGACUUUUCUGACAGUAAGAUGUCGUGCACAUAUUAUGCAUCAAACUCUGCAGCUAAUUCUCUCAGCCUAAAUGUCUAAAUAUGAAAGAUCUGAAGUUUAGAUUUGAGAAAUUUUAGUUUGGACACAACUGGACUAACUUACAUUUGAACAAUAGUCAUAUUUUACAAACAUCAUGUUUAAAGUUUAAUUAUGCAUGCAAGAAAUAUGUGAUAUUAGUUACCUGUAAUAAUAAAUGUCUAUUUUUGUACAAUGGGGGACUCUGCAUACGUUAACAUUUAAUAUAGGUAUCAGACAUUAAAAGUCAGACAAUAUUGUUAUGUCAGAUAUAAUAAUGAGGUUUACUAUGUUGUUGAAACAUCCCCAUAUUUUUUAGAUUUGUUUUGUUUCUUUUUAUUUUAUAUUUCACAGUUAAAUUCAGUUAAUUCUUUAAUGAGAUGUGGGGAGUUAAAUGUGCCCUACCAAGCAGCUGAGCUAGCAGUUAAAGGGUUGUCAGAAGCAGAGGAUUUGUUUUCACACAGUUGUACCAGUUUGAAUAAGAUAUAACAUGUAAUUAUCUGUCCUAUGUGUGGUAUAUCUAGUCAGACGCCUCCUCCAAGAGUAGCAUGAGGAGACUUUCCUGUUUUGUUUGUUGGGUCAGUCUUCCAGAACUGGACACUUAGAGCUGGUGUGGCUAAAGAGAUGAUUGAUCAAUACUCAGAGCUGUCAUUACUGGUAUCUUUAUUCAAUAUUUUAGUAAUCUAUGCCACUUUUACAGCUUGUUUUGGUUGUGGGGUCUUUUUAAUAUUUAGUUACAUUGAAAAUUGGUAUUGGGGUUUUUGAUUAAAUGAUUUGUAAAACCUGUCCAAGUACAACUGAUGAGGAGCAGCCUUUUGGUCUAUAUCUUGUAUUUUUUACAUGUAUCUGAUUUUUCUUUGUUGUCCUUGAUAAAUAAACCAACAAUCUUGAA